CGGAGGCGCCGGCAGCCCCGCGUCGCUCUGCCGCCGCCGCGGCGAGGCGUGAGAGGCACGUUAUUGGGUGGAUGGAAGCAUCACAGGAGUCCUCCACGAAUAACAGAAAAAGCAGAGUUUUACAUAAAAUGGGUGCUGUAUUAGAAAGCAUCGACUGACAUCGGAGCUGGAACUGCCGAGUGGGAAAACUCACUUUACAGCUGAUUCUUUACAGCAAAUUUCUCGUCGCCAUUUUUAGUCCAUUUUCAACUUGCGACUCUGUUGGGAAAGCUUUGAUCUUUACCUCUGUACAAAAGGACACACACUACAGUGAGCGGAUGCAACCGAGACCAGGAAAAUUGCAGUAACUCGGAGGUUCUCAAUACAUACAAUAAUACUUCCCCCAUUUAUCUCUUUAAAAUAGAUUGAUGCUCGUCUGCCUUUUGUUUCUGCGGGUUUAAAUCAUUAACGGUCUUCGUGGAAAUACAUCCUAAUCGUGGCUACUCGCUUCAUUUCUGGGAAGGCAGCAGCAAAAUGGUCACUCUACACAAAGCAGAAUGCGACUCCCGCGUGCUGACCUUUGCACGUAGCGUGUUCUAAAUGGCAGCCCGCCUUGGACCCAACAAAUUAUUUCUGCCCGUGUUCAGUUAGGAUGGAUACGGCGUGUCCACAACCCAUGGUGAAGCACUAACGCAUCUUUACGUGCUUAUUCCUAAAUUAUACCAAGAAAGUAAAGUUUUCUUUUCCCUUCUAUUCUUUAAUAUAAUGGUCACAUCUGUGUUUAACACCUACCCAAAUGCAAGUUGCUGAAUGAUUAGAACCUUCUAACGCUUCAGAUGCGGUGAGUUCGUGCCGGGCAGCUUGCACGUUGCACACGUAACACGGGUACAGGUAGCAGCACCAGGGGUCACGCUGGCGCAUCUCCUGGACACCGCGCCCCUCCACACCUCGUGCUAUUUUCCUUCGUGUGAACGGAAUGCCUAAUUUUGUAAUUCCUCAGAGUGGAAAGGAAGGGGGGGGAGAAUUCCACCAACUCUUGUAUUCAUUUUAUUGGUUUUAAUUGCAUUAUCACCUUUGGAGACUUUGGUAAAUUCCACUUAGCUAGCAGCCAUGGGUAGCGGUGGUGGUUUUCAAGUACAGCUCCUGUUACUCAUGUUGGCAUUUAAAUGUUAAUUUCCAACCGAGGUUUACAGUAAACACCAAACAAGGGAUUUUCUUUGAAUGAACCAUCUCAGACCAAAAUUCUAAAGGAAAGGAUCCUACCCGGGAUAUUUUUAAGCGCGGUGAUUAUUUCCUUGUGAAAGACUUAACAUUCCCUAAGUGAUAGAAGCUAAAAGAUUUACAUGUGACAGUUAAUUUAUAAUUCUCUACAUUAAAAAGACAUUUAAACGUUAACCACAUUUUUAUGUGAGUCAAGUCAAAGCAAUGAUAAUUACAGUAUGAUACAAAAGAACCUGAAAUAAACUUCCAGCAAACCAUAUUGAAUAUUAACGUCGUGUUAAGCCCCGAAAAGCUGCGUUAGUAAACUCUGGAAUUUAGAUUAUAUGCAACUUCAACAUAACAUCGGGCUUUUCUUUAAAGCACACAUCACUGCAAAGGUUGGAUCCGGGGGAGGUACGUAUUAAUUGGCCGGAUUUUUAUUAAAUACAUUUACAUAGCAUCAUGCCAAAACCAAGCCUCGGAUUACUCUUUCUGCACAGGCAUACCUCAGCGUGGGAUUUGCCAAAUUAACAUUCCAUAUAAAUUAACAGCCUUUUCUCAUGUUUGUGGUGUUACGAUGAGCAGCGUGAUACUGUAUCGUGUCGCUGCUCACGUGUAUUUGAUUUCAAUUUAGGAAUCGUAUCUCUGCUACCCACCACAUAGGAGAAACGACGUGCUGAAUUUCCCAUCAAAUAUCUUAAAUACAGACCUAUUUUAGGUGGAUUUGUAUAAACAAAACACAUAUCUCAUAUGGGCGUGGGAAAGGAAAAGCUGGUUUGGUAUAUGCUAGAGCAAACUGGAGUAAAUCAACCGCAUCCAUGGGCUGUAUCAGCAGUACCGCUCUGCUUUUCCCAGUACCAUUUGGACACAACAAUGUUACUUUUUUAUUUAAAGUGUUUUCUUCUCAACAAGGGGCCACCACUUCCCAAUCGCAAAAACACGCCCCAGAAUAUGUUAAUUAAUUGUAUUGUGCCUCUGAAAGAAAAGAGGUUGCCAAAUGCAAUAAAAAAAAAAAAAGAGAGAGAGAGAGAGAGAGGUCUUUCGAUCAGAGGGCUCCGUUCCCACUGGUUACCAUCUAAUUUCAAUUCCCCACAUACGGACGUGGAAGAAAUAUAUCUGUGUAGAUUGUGACCGUGAGGAACUGCCUGAGAGCCAAAGGCCGGCGCGGCCACGCUGGGAUCUGGGCAGCCUCACGUUGCUGGAGGACGGAGGGCGCGAGCCUCGGCCCGCGGUUUGUCACCCUUACGUGGGCACUGCAGAGUGGGAACGUGGGGCAUUUUCAUCCCAUGUUGCUUCCCAUUACGUGUAACAACGGGGCUGCUUCCCACCCCCC
ensembl:lncRNA